GAUCCUGGCUCAGGAUGAACGCUGGCGGCGUGCCUAACACAUGCAAGUCGAACGAAGCGCCUGGCCCGACUUCUUCGGAACGAGGAGCCUUGCGACUGAGUGGCGGACGGGUGAGUAACGCGUGGGCAACCUGCCGUUGCACUGGGGAUAACAGCCAGAAAUGGCUGCUAAUACCGCAUAAGACCGAAGCGCCGCAUGGUCGCGGCGGCCAAAGCCCCGGCGGUGCAAGAUGGGCCCG
rnacentral:rRNA from 1 species